UGAGGCCGGUGAUGAUUUAUACAUAUUUUGCCUACAUUGCUUGAUUAUCUCAUGUUGUUGAGAUAGUGAUAAAACUCAAAUGUAUCUGAGGCCGGC